CUCGCGUUUGUCACGACUUGUCAGCAUUUUUGGAGACUCCUAGUUCGAUCUGCAAGCCUAGAGAGGGCUAACAUUACUUCAAUCGUAAGGAAGAGACAGUUCUGUCGAGUCUACCAAGGAGGUUAAUUAAGGACCUCCGAACACUGUCUCACCGAUGUACGCGCGGACACCGUAGACCCUCACCACGUCGAAAUGCCGUCUGUUGUCAGCAUAUGGAAGCAGAUGUCGGGAUCACACUUGUCAGACAGAUGAAGGAGAGUCUAGAGAAGGUCUAUAAACCACACAAACACAUCUAUGGGGUUUACGUAAGGGAAUUAUACUAAAGAUUCACACGGAAGCUUCAAUUUCAACACGAAAGAGCGGGAAACCCUUCAGGUAACCUUUGCCCUAUGACGCACCAUGACGUAGCACAUAGUGACACAGGGGCGUCCGGGGAGACGAAUCCUGACGUCAUGCCUAACAAGGGGAGUGUUCAUAGGUGUAGGGCGGGGGCUGAGAGUUGAGGAAGGAUUCCAAAACAAAUGAUGGAA